CACGAACCGUACGAACGUUAUUCGGAAUCACUGGGCUUAAAGGGUGCGUAGGCGGCCCGGUAAGUUGGGUGUGAAAUCCCUCGGCUUAACCGAGGAAUUGCGCUCAAGACUGCCGGGCUAGAGGGAGUCAGAGGUGAGUGGAACUUAGGGUGGAGCGGUGAAAUGCGUUGAUAUCCUAAGGAACACCAGUGGCGAAAGCGACUCACUGGGGCUUUUCUGACGCUGAGGCACGAAAGCUAGGGGAGCGAACGGG
rnacentral:rRNA from 1 species